CGUGCAUAUAAUUAGCACACGCUAUAUCACCGAGAGUGCAAUUACCACUCGUUAUAUCGCCGUGCAUAUAAUUAGCACACGCUAUAUCACCGAGAGUGCAAUUACCACUCGUUAUAUCGCCGUGCAUAUAAUUAGCAUACGCUAUAUCACCGAGAGUGCAAUUACCACUCGUUAUAUCGCCGUGUAUAUAAUUAGCACACGCUAUAUCACCGAGAGUGCAAUUACCACACACUACAUCGCCGCGCGUGUAAUUACUACUCGUUAUAUCGCCGUGCGCGGAAUUAGCACACGCUAUAUCACCGAGAGCGCAAUUACCACACGCUAUAUCGCCGCGCGUGUUAUUACUACACGCUUUAUCGCCACGCAUAAUUACCACACGCUAUAUCACCGAGAAUGUAAUGUCACACAUUGAAUUACUAUACGCCAUAUUGCUACAUGUCAAAUUACCACUCGGGAUAUGGUCAUACUACUAUUAGAAUAUUACACGUUAUAAUUACUACGCGCUGUCCCUCACGCUAUAUCGCCACAUAUAAAUUCAAAUUAUACUUGAAUAAUUUAAAAUGAGUAAAAAGUAAUAUAGCAAAGGUGGCAACCGUUUACACCGAGUCUUCUCUCAUUUUCCACGAACUCCGUAUAUACAUUUUUCGUGCCGGACAGGUCAUGAAAUAUUCGCGGCUCUGCCACAAGUUUCUUCUUCGCCGUGUGUAUUUUGCAUUUUAUCGGUCGAUUUCUUUGUCUGAACCCUACCGUUAAUGGCGACGGAGAUAAUUAGGUGACAACAGCUGGCUUGGCCGGCUAUCUGUUCGUAACAUUAACGCUGCGCAGUAGUACAAUCUACAGUACUGCGCACAAGAGACAAACAUCACGCGUAGUUAUUUUUCGUAUGUAUAUAUGUAUAUGUAUACGAGUGUGGGCGUGUUUGAGGUUCGCGUACACGUGCGGCGGGUGCGUGUAUCGUUGCAGGGAACCGCGUGUUUUUAAAUGACCAUGGCUGUCACGCGGAGAACGUGUACGGGUUCUUUAUAAAACAGCUGUUAGGGGCAGCAGAAGCCAUGCCAGUCGAAAUGCAGCUAGAUCAAUACCAUCGUCUGCCGGAGAAUUUAUACGUGGGGUGUUACAGGGGAAACCGGUGGACGAGGGUGCGCGUUAAACCCUCCAACGACGUUGUCAACCAUGCGAACAGCACUUAUGUCUAAGAAUUUUCUAACUUCGAUAAUAUGCAGUUAUGUUCAAUUUCUGCAUCGAUUUUAACUGAUAUUGUCUUUAAAAUAUUUUACGCAAUGCGGUAAUGGGCGAUUCUAAUCUGUUGGGCAAAAUCUAGGAAAAAACCUGGCACGAUAGUGAAAGAAUCGAGAAAGAGCUGAGAAAGAUUAAUGCAAAACCAGAGGUGUUAUUAUCUGUUAUUGAUAUCGUACCGAUAAGUUUACUGACACUUAAUGAUCGAAUGGUGGGAUAUUCACUGCUCCUUCGUUUCCCCUUAACCGAGGGAAGCCUAAGUUGGGAUAUGCCUACCGAGAAAUGACGCAAGUAAAAGAAAAUGGUAUUCCAGAAAAUUGCAAAGUGCCAAAAUCGUGUCUCGGGAUGGGUACAGCGUUUGGCACGUGUGCGUAUAGAUACACAAGUAAGUGGCACCCGAAAGAGUCCGCAGUGGCGUCGCUUGACGACGAAAAUUUCAAAUGAACAUAGCGUUCCGUUUCCAAGAAUCGUCGAUGAGUCAUACCGUGGCAGGUCGUGUGGGCGGUGAACGGGGUAGCCGGAACAUAUCGAACAAGACGCGUGACUCACCAAUCUGAUAUGUUGGAUAUUCGCGCCUUUAACCUGCUCCCUUUGGAUGGCUAGACGUUCUUCAACCUGCCGUUUCCUCCUGCUUUGAAGCACAUGCGCAGGUGCCCACCUGCGUAGCGAAAUAACCAACUCAAUGAAGCUCUAAGUUACUGGUUCCGUCCUGUCUCAUUCUCCAUUAUUAGUUUUACGCAUGAUCAACCGUGAACUGCGACGAACGCCGAUCAGAUCGAGGAGGAAGAUAAAUCAGUCAUUUCUUCAAAUCGAGAUAUCUAAUGUAAACGACAAAAUUUUAGGAGAUUCGAAGAUUUGGGGAUUUGAAAAUUUAGGAAAUUUGAGAAGAGGAUUUGAGGACUGGAACAAGUGGAGAUUAUGAAAUUUUGGAAUCUAUAAAUUUAGAAAAUAUUAAGGAAUUCUUCGUCGAAGAAAAUGCAUCGAAGGAGCACACGGUUAUGCCUCAAAGAUAUGUCUCAUUACGGUCAUGAAGGGACUGACAUUCACCUGCUUAGCUUCGCACCAUGAUGAAAUUCGAAUAGACAGCCGGUCGUCGUCCUUGAGCUAACUUCUGCCUAUAGCCAAGGCCUCGACUUAGCGGCCACAUUUGAACGUUACCCGAUUGGAAAAAUUACGACGCCAUGGAAUGUCAUUGCCGUUUGGUAAAUCGGUGCCGCCGAUCUGCCUCGCAUGUGCUCGGGGAAUACACGCGGUCUCGUUGUUUCGCGAGGAAAUCUAGGUUAAGUUGUUCGCAAAGUUUUUUGAGGUUAAUAAAUCUGUCGAUCUUCCUGGUGUAACAAAGCGCA
rnacentral:lncRNA from 1 species